GACGAACGCUGGCGGCGCGCCUAACACAUGCAAGUCGAACGAGCGAGAGAGAGCUUGCUUUCUUGAGCGAGUGGCGAACGGGUGAGUAACGCGUGAGGAACCUGCCUCAAAGAGGGGGACAACAGUUGGAAACGACUGCUAAUACCGCAUAAGCCCACGACCCGGCAUCGGGUUGAGGGAAAAGGAGCAAUCCGCUUUGAGAUGGCCUCGCGUCCGAUUAGCUAGUUGGUGAGGUAACGGCCCACCAAGGCGACGAUCGGUAGCCGGACUGAGAGGUUGAACGGCCACAUUGGGACUGAGACACGGCCCAGACUCCUACGGGAGGCAGCAGUGGGGAAUAUUGCACAAUGGGGGAAACCCUGAUGCAGCGACGCCGCGUGGAGGAAGAAGGUCUUCGGAUUGUAAACUCCUGUUGUUGAGGAAGAUAAUGGCGGUACUCAACAAGGAAGUGACGGCUAACUACGUG
rnacentral:rRNA from 1 species